AACGUGCCGAGUAAUGGGGGAUAACGCAUCGAAAGGUGUGCUAAUACCGCAUACGCUCUGAGGAGGAAAGCGGGGGACCUUUGGGCCUCGCGUUAUUCGAGCGGCCGACGUCUGAUUAGCUAGUUGGUGGGGUAAAGGCUCACCAAGGCGACGAUCAGUAGCGGGUCUGAGAGGAUGAUCCGCCACACUGGGACUGAGACACGGCCCAGACUCCUACGGGAGGCAGCAGUGGGGAAUUUUGGACAAUGGGCGAAAGCCUGAUCCAGCCAUGCCGCGUGAGUGAAGAAGGCCUUCGGGUUGUAAAGCUCUUUUGUCCGGGAGGAAAUCCCGCAACCUAAUACGUUGCGGGGAUGACAGUACUGGAAGAAUAAGCACCGGCUAACUACGUGCCAGCAGCCGCGGUAAUACGUAGGGUGCAAGCGUUAAUCGGAAUUACUGGGCGUAAAGCGUGCGCAGGCGGUUUGAUAAGUCAGAUGUGAAAUCCCCGGGCUUAACCUGGGAACUGCGUUUGAAACUGUCAGGCUAGAGUACGUCAGAGGGGGGUGGAAUUCCACGUGUAGCAGUGAAAUGCGUAGAGAUGUGGAGGAACACCGAUGGCGAA
rnacentral:rRNA from 1 species